AACUAGGAUUAGAUACCCUAUUAUUAAAAAUUUAAUUUAUAAUGCUAAAAUAGUAGGUAAAAUAAUUGAAACUUAAAUAAUAUGGCGGUAUUUUAGUUCAUUUAGAGGAAUCUGUUUAAUAAUUGAUAAUCCACGAGUAAAUUUACUUAAUUUAUAAUUUUGUAUAUCAUUGUUAAAAAAAUAUUUUUAAAUAAAAAUAAUAUUUUAAAAUUUAAAAUAAAAUUUAAUUCAGAUCAAGAUGCAGAUUAUAAUUAAGUUUAAGAUGGAUUACAAUAAAUUUAUUUAAACGAAAAGAAUUUUGUAACAUUUAAUUGAAGGUGGAUUUAAAUGUAAUAUUAAUUAAUACUCGAUCGGAGGCU
rnacentral:rRNA from 1 species